GACGAACGCUGGCGGCGUGCUUAACACAUGCAAGUCGAGCGGUAAGGCCCUUUCGGGGGUACACGAGCGGCGAACGGGUGAGUAACACGUGGGUGACCUGCCUUUAGCUCUGGGAUAAGCCUGGGAAACUGGGUCUAAUACCGGAUAUGACUCCGCGGUGCAUGCUGUGGGGUGGAAAGCCUUGUGCGGCUGGAGAUGGGCCCGCGGCCUAUCAGCUUGUUGGUGGGGUGAGGCCUACCAAGGCGACGACGGGUAGCCGGCCUGAGAGGGCGACCGGCCACACUGGGACUGAGACACGGCCCAGACUCCUACGGGAGGCAGCAGUGGGGAAUCUUGCGCAAUGGGCAAAGCCUGACGCAGCGACGCCGCGUGAGGGAUGACGGCCU
rnacentral:rRNA from 1 species